AGGGGCUUAAGAAGACCCAGAGGGCCCAAUCCAGAGAGGAUUUAGUAGCAGGAAGCCCACACCUUCCCUUCCCGCCUUGCCAUCAUGGUUUGGGUUCCUCUCUUCUUGAGCUUCCUGACUUACUGCACAGGGACCUUGGCCCAGUUCGUAAUGACUCAGCCGCCCUCCGUCUCGACAUUUCCUGGAUCAACGGUCAGGAUCCCUUGUACCAGAAGCAGCGGAAGCAUUAAUAGCUAUUACGUAUCCUGGUAUCAACAGAAGCCUGGCAGUGCCCCUAAACUCAUGAUAUAUCAGUAUAAUGCCAGGCCCACUGGAAUCCCUGACCGAUUUUCUGGCUCCAAGAGCAGCUCUGAGGCCACCUUCACCAUCUCCAGCGUCGAAGCAGAGGAUGAGGCAGUCUAUUACUGUUUAUCUUAUGAUAGCAGCUCGCAGCGCACAGUGAUACAACUUUAG